AGGCAGCAUGGCACAAUGGUGCUCUUUUCCCCAUGGGAGCCCGGUGUGCAAUGGCUGCAAACAGCAGCAGCAUCCUUGGUAGUGUGUGCAAUCUAUUAUUUGUAUGGGUUGUUCUAAAGGACCUUGGAGACAGUC
ensembl:snoRNA SNORA70 Small nucleolar RNA SNORA70